CGAGGCAUAGCUCAGAAGGAAGAGCAAGGACCUUCUAAGUCCUAGGUCGUAGGUUCGAUCCCUACUGUCUCGACCA
rnacentral:tRNA from 6 species